AAACAGCCCCCUAUGUUUUGAUUCUUUGGUAGUUUUGGGCCCCCAAGGCAAAAAAAUAAUAAAAUUGACACGUGGCACCUCACUUAGGGUGCCACGUCAGCGUUGACCGAGUCAACAAUGGACUGGGGGUCCAAAACUGCCAAAGAAUCAAAACAUAGGGGGCUGUUU
rfam:Medicago truncatula strain A17 chromosome 2, whole genome shotgun sequence.